UACGUAGGGGCUGAGCGUUGUCCGGCAAUCAUUGGGCGUAAAAGCGCGUGUAGGCGGUCCGGUAAGUCCGCUGUGAAAGUCGAGGGCUCAACCCUCGAAUGCCGGUGGAUACUGUCGGGCUUGAGUACGGGAGAGGCGAGUGGAAUUCCUGGUGUAGCGGUGAAAUGCGCAGAUAUCAGGAGGAACACCGAUUGCGAAGGCAGCUCGCUGGAACGUUACUGACGCUGAGACGCGAAAGCGUGGGGAGCAAACAGG
rnacentral:rRNA from 1 species